CCCCAUGGUCAAGGCCGCC
rnacentral:misc_RNA from 1 species